AAAGAGAUAAUGAAUUCAUUCAUGAUGAUGAUAUAGAUGAUGUGUAGCUAAUAGUAUUGGAAAUGUCACAUCGAAGAGGAAGAGUACAAAUAGUGUCUCCAAAAGAUGAGUUGGACAAUCUACAACAACUCCUAGACAUACAACCUGCUGCAACUACUACUCCUAGUAGUUCUGAUCCUUCUGAUUCUUCAGAUCCUUCUGUUGUUGGUUCAUCCUCUAGCAAAAAGAGGACACGUGGCCUAACACGUAACUUAGAUUUACUUAGUAUGAAACCCGGGGAAAAAAAAACUACACGAUUCAAUACCAGAGGGCAAGUUGUUUAUGAUGGAAAAUGGGAAAGAUUAUCAAGCUAUAUGGGAACAUUGGUGCGAUCUCAACACAAUGUACCCAUCCAAGUUCAAGAUUGGAAUCAUGUUAGUGAAGAUGUGAAGGAAAAGAUUUGGGCCUUAGUAUUGGAAAAAUAUGAACUAGAAGAAACAUGUAAGAGCUACAUUCUUCAAUGUUGUGGAAAUUUGUUUAGAAGCUAUAGAAAUAAAAUGAAGGCCAAGUAUUAUAACCCUUAUAAUACAGAUGAGGAGAGAUUGUGCCAUCGACCUCCACACUUAUCGGAUGAUGAUUGGAGGUGGCUCAUCCACUUUUGGGGUACACCUGAGGCCAAGGAUAUCUCAGAAAAAAAACAAGGCAAAUAGGGCAAAACAAGUGAUAAAGCAUACAUCGGGAUCAAAAAGUUAUGCUCAAAUUCGAUAUGAACAGGCACAAAAGAAGGAGGAUCGAAGUGAGCCCAAUAGAAUUGAGAUGUUUGCCCUGACACACACAAGAAAAGAUGGGACGCCUGUUGAUGAUCAUUCUAAGGAGAUUAUGGUAAUGAAGUAAAUAAAUUUUAUAUACUUGUAUUUCAAUCAUAGCCUCAUACUA